rnacentral:rRNA from 1 species
UACGUAGGGACCGAGCGUUGUCCGGAAUCAUUGGGCGUAAAGAGCGUGUAGGCGGCUAUUUAAGUCCUGCGUGAAAUCCUGGAGCUCAACUCCAGAACUGCCUUCGAUACUGAGAGUCUCGAGUCCGGGAGAGGUGAGUGGAACUGCGAGUGUAGAGGUGAAAUUCGUAGAUAUUCGCAAGAACACCAGUGGCGAAGGCGGCUCACCUGGCCCGGUACUGGACGCUGAGGUGCGA